rnacentral:rRNA from 1 species
AGUCAACGCUGGCGGCGUGCCUCAGACAUGCAAGUCGAACGAUUAAGACUCCCUUCGGGGAGUGCAUAAAGUGGCGCACGGGUGAGUAACACGUAAGUAAUCUACCCUCGAGUGGGGAAUAACAACCGGAAACGGUUGCUAAUACCGCAUAAUGCAGCGGCACCGCAAGGUGACAGUUGUUAAAGGAGCAAUCCGCUUGAGGAGGAGCUUGCGGCAGAUUAGCUAGUUGGUAAGGUAACGGCUUACCAAGGCUACGAUCUGUAUCCGGCCUGAGAGGGCGGUCGGACACACUGACACUGAAUAACGGGUCAGACUCCUACGGGAGGCAGCAGUCGGGAAUUUUGGGCAAUGGGCGAAAGCCUGACCCAGCAACGCCGCGUGAAGGAUGAAGUAUUUCGGUAUGUAAACUUCGAAAGAAUAGGAAGAAUAAAUGACGGUACUAUUUAUAAGCUCCGGCUAACUACGUGCCAGCAGCCGCCGUAAGAC